ensembl:lncRNA
AAGAUUGUUAUUGUGUAAUACUAGGUAGGCUAUACCAGGGGUUGAAAGAUAAGAUUGUUAUUGUGUAAUACUAUGUAGGCUAUACCAGGGGUUGAAAGAUAAGAUUGUUAUUGUGUAAUACUAGGUAGGCUAUACCAGGGGUUGAAAGAUAAGAUUGUUAUUGUGUAAUACUAUGUAGGCUAUACCAGGGGUUGAAAGAUAAGAUUGUUAUUGUGUAAUACUAGGUAGGCUAUACCAGGGGUUGAAAGAUAAGAUUGUUAUUGUGUAAUACUAGGUAGGCUAUACCAGGGGUUGAAAGAUAAGAUUGUUAUUGUGUAAUACUAUGUAGGCUAUACCAGGGGUUGAAAGAUAAGAUUGUUAUUGUGUAAUACUAUGUAGGCUAUACCAG